rnacentral:rRNA from 1 species
CCUACGGGAGGCAGCAGUGGGGAAUUGUUCGCAAUGGGCGCAAGCCUGACGACGCAACGCCGCGUGGAGGAUGAAGACCUUCGGGUCGUAAACUCCUUUCGAUCGAGACGAAUGUUUUCCGGGUGAACAAUCCGGAAAAGUGACGGUACCGAGAGAAGAAGCCCCGGCUAACUCUGUGCCAGCAGCCGCGGUAAUACAGGGGGGGCAAGCGUUGUUCGGAAUUACUGGGCGUAAAGGGCUUGUAGGUGGCCAACUAAGUCAGACGUGAAAUCCCUCAGCUUAACUGGGGAACUGCGUCUGAUACUGGAUGGCUUGAGUUUGGGAGAGGGAUGCGGAAUUCCAGGUGUAGCGGUGAAAUGCGUAGAUAUCUGGAGGAACACCGGUGGCGAAGGCGGCAUCCUGGACCAACACUGACACUGAGGAGCGAAAGCCAGGGGAGCAAACGGGAUUAGAUACCCCGGUAGUCCUGGCCCUAAACGAUGAAUGNUGUGUGGCGGUAGUCGACUCCUCGCGUCGCCGACGACGUACGACAUAAGUACGAGUCCGUCCGUCGGGUAGGUACGGUCGGCGACGGCGUGUAACGUUACGAAGUAGUUAAGUUAGUACGGCGUUGNGACGNGCGACGGACGACGACGAGGGAGGAGG